AGCUGAAUUUCCGCCGACACGACUACGUACUCGUGUCGUCAAACGUCACCGCUGACAUUUAACCAACAACGUGACCGAUCUCUUUCUGACGUUAUAUGUCGUAUCGAUUUGACGGUACUUCAGGCAGGAGCGUAGGCUAGGAGCGUAUUUUUAAAAAAAUCUUUAAACGCUUAAAUGUCGUCAUUAGACGUUAUAUAGAACGUCAAAUAAAGUUUAAAAAAUCCUUAGCGUAAGUGAUCGUUUCAGCGCUGCAACAACGAUAACGAGCUUCUUACAUUUGUAGACGGAAGUCGCCUGAGAGUUCGUCGGCCAUUUUGUCUCCAGCUGAGAGGCUUCAGAAAACAUGACGUCAUUUCCGGUUUGAACAUAACGAGCGUCGAUGCUCCUGGUUUUUGCGGUGCAUUGUGGGAUUUAAUUUUUUUUACGGAGCGAACGUUCCAGUGCACCGGAAUGCAUUUUAGCAUUCAAAAUGGCCGCCUCGCUGCUCGGCGCCCCGACUACUGAACUAGAGAGCUGACUGACACGCAGUUGUAUAAAAAUAACUCCCGAUUAAUGAGCAAUCACAUGAUGAUGAAGAUUCGCAAUCACGAGCGUAAUAUUUUCCCCUACGCGGUGGAGACAAGAUUCCAUAAAUAUAGCUAUUUUAUUUUAUUUUAUGUAUUGUUAAACACUUCAUGCAUUCGUUCCCCCCCCCCCCCCCCUCUCUCUCUCUCUCUCUCUCUCUCAGGAAUAGAAAACAUUAAAUAAACCACUGGAACACUUUGUACUGUAAUAUUUAAACACUCUGCUGACUGAAACGUGUUCGUCACGCCCCAGGCAGCAGAAUGACGUUUUUGGGAAUUUAAAUAAAUAAAUGUCUAAAAUAUCUAUCUUUUUUCCACCUCACGUGAAAAUGUAUUGUUUAAUUUUUUUUAGAAUUUCUUUACAUGUUCAUCCGGCACUUUACUCACUUCUCACUUACCCAUUAAGUUCGCGUUAGUGAUUUUGAUCGUAAUUAACGUUCUGGAUUUAUCUUUUUUUUUUCUUUGUAUUUUAUUUUCCACAAACGCUUUAUUUUAUAUUUCUUUUUAACCAUCUGGAACCAAAAAAAAAUACACUUUUAAAAACAUGCAUUUAAAAAACUUUGUAGCAUUUUUAUUAUUAUUAUUAUUAUUAUUAUUCCAUCCUUUAGGCUUUGGUAAGAGUUUGUAUUUUUAUACUUUACUCAGACUGCACAGCACGAGUGUAAAUUUAAGAUUUGAUUAUUUACCGAGUCUGAAUUCUGCAAUAAGUUAAAUAUGUACUGUAAUCAGGUUUUAUUCUUCAAAUUAAAAAUAAUGACUGAUUACUAUAUUAAUGCUUUUCUAUAAAUUUAUCAGAGCACUAAAUGUUUACAGAAGUUGUUGUUUUUUUGCAAUGGUACGUUAUUUCAGUUUUUGUCUAAAUAAUAGAUAAAACGGGGCAAUUUAUUCAAAUGAUCAUUAAAACAUUUUAAUUUGCUUCAUUUGUCGUGGUUUUCGUUCAUAUUUAAAUAUUUCUGAAAAGACUGACAUCUUUCUGUUUUACGGUGUUCACGCACUCACAUAUUAUAUUGACAUUUUUACUAACUAAAAAGUACUCGUCUGUACCUUUAGAGCUAGUGGUCAUGUUUGUUUAACCCCCCCCGCGUCAUUUUUAACGAAUGUCUUUGAAAGCAUUUUCUAAUAACGAACGUUAGCAGAAAAGAAGGUGAACGUUCAUGAGCGCGACUUAAAAUCCUCUCAGAAAUCCCAUCGGGUUAAAUCAGACGAGCAAACGUCCUUCUUUCUACCACUUCCAUAUAUGGGUUUGAAGACACACCCACAUUCUCACCUGUGUCACUCGGAACUGCUCAGAUUUCCAUAUAUGGACUCGGACACACCUACCUGCUCUGCACGGAUCUGACGGUGUAUUUAUCAGGAUAUUGUCACGGUAGUGAUUGAUUAGUUGCUGAAUCGUUCGUUAUAAGUUAUGAUGCUUUCCAGUGACACCUUUCGGUGAUGCAGGACCGAUGCAUGCACGACCGGCGUCACUGGAAAGCAUCAAAACACGUUCUUUUAGGUUUUCUCUGAAUAAUUUCAUGUUUUUAACAAAUGAAUUCCGGUAAAGAAUUUUCAAAUAAUAACUCUAGAAUUUGGGAUUUUCUCUAGAUGAAAUAAUAAUUUGAGGUAUUCAUAAAGAGAUCAAUCACAGUUGACAUUAAAACGUGUAAGAAU
ensembl:lncRNA